rnacentral:tRNA from 2 species
GGUCCAGUGGUGUAGUGGUUAUCACGUCUGCUUUACACGCAGAAGGUCUCCGGUUCGAACCCGGGCUGGACCA